rnacentral:rRNA from 1 species
AACUUACCAGGUCAAGACAUGGGCGUGAUUGACAGGCUAAUGACUUUUCUCGAUUCCAUGGAUGGUGGUGCAUGGUCGCACUUAGUUGGUGCAGUGAUUUGUCAGGUUUAUUCCGGUAACGAACGAGACCUCGGCCUUGUAAAUAGCUAUGCUGCUUACAGGGACAUUGGCGGCUACGCCAAGGAAGCUCGAGGCAAUUGCAGAUCUGGAAUGCCCUUAGAUGUCCUGGGUCGCACGCGUGCUACAAUGACGCCACGAACGAGCUUGCGUGAUGAAAGUUACACAUAAUCAGCAGUCGGCGUCUUAAGGGAUAGUCUCUUGUAACUGUGGGACUCCAACUAGGAAUGUCUCGUAAGCACAAGUCAACAUCUUGUGUUGAUUACGUCCCUGCUCUUUGUACACACCGCCCGUCGCUCCUACCGAUCGAGUGUUUAGGUGAAUUUGAUGGACGUAAGGAAGUCAAAUAAACCUGAGCACUAGAGAAGAGAAGUCUACAAGCU